rnacentral:rRNA from 1 species
GGAGCUUCGGUUCCGCUGACGACCGGCGCACGGGUGCGUAACGCGUAUGAAACCUGCCUUAUACAGGGGGAUAGCCCGAAGAAAUUCGGAUUAAUACCCCAUAAUGAUAAGUUAUCGCAUGGUAAUUUAUUUAAAACUCCGGUGGUAUAAGAUGGUCAUGCGUGACAUUAGCUAGUUGGUGAGGUAACGGCUCACCAAGGCGACGAUGUCUAGGGGUUCUGAGAGGAAGGUCCCCCACACUGGUACUGAGACACGGACCAGACUCCUACGGGAGGCAGCAGUGAGGAAUAUUGGUCAAUGGGCGCAAGCCUGAACCAGCCAUGUCGCGUGCAGGACGACUGCCCUAUGGGUUGUAAACUGCUUUUAUAUGGGAAGAAAUGUAUCUACGAGUAGAUAUUUGCCGGUACCAUAUGAAUAAGCAUCGGCUAACUCCGUGCCAGCAGCCGCGGUAAUACGGAGGAUGCGAGCGUUAUCCGGAUUCAUUGGGUUUAAAGGGUGCGUAGGCGGAAGUGUAAGUCAGGGGUGAAAGUUUGCAGCUCAACUGUAAAAUUGCCUUUGAUACUGCAUUUCUUGAGUACAUUUGAGGUAGGCGGAAUGUGUUGUGUAGCGGUGAAAUGCUUAGAUAUAACACAGAACACCGAUUGCGAAGGCAGCUUACUAAACUGUAACUGACGCUGAUGCACGAAAGCGUGGGGAUCGA